CCUACGGGUGGCAGCAGUGAGGAAUAUUGGUCAAUGGACGAGAGUCUGAACCAGCCAAGUAGCGUGAAGGAUGACUGCCCUAUGGGUUGUAAACUUCUUUUAUAUGGGAAUAAAAUGUUCCACGUGUGGGAUUUUGUAUGUACCAUAUGAAUAAGGAUCGGCUAACUCCGUGCCAGCAGCCGCGGUAAUACGGAGGAUCCGAGCGUUAUCCGGAUUUAUUGGGUUUAAAGGGAGCGUAGGUGGUUUGUUAAGUCAGUUGUGAAAGUUUGCGGCUCAACCGUAAAAUUGCAGUUGAGACUGGCAGUCUUGAGUACAGUAGAGGUGGGCGGAAUGCGUGGUGUAGCGGUGAAAUGCUUAGAUAUCACGAAGAACUCCGAUUGCGAAGGCAGUUCACUGGACUGCAACUGACACUGAGGCUCGAAAGUGUGGGUAUCAAACAGGAUUAGAUACCCUUGUAGUC
rnacentral:rRNA from 1 species